rnacentral:rRNA from 1 species
UAGGGAAUCUUCCGCAAUGGACGCAAGUCUGACGGAGCAACGCCGCGUGAGUGAAGAAGGAUUUCGGUUCGUAAAACUCUGUUGUUAGAGAAGAACAGCGCAUAGAGUAACUGUUAUGCGUGUGACGGUAUCUAACCAGAAAGCCACGGCUAACUACGUGCCAGCAGCCGCGGUAAUACGUAGGUGGCAAGCGUUGUCCGGAUUUAUUGGGCGUAAAGCGAGCGCAGGCGGUCAAUUAAGUCUGAUGUGAAAGCCCCCGGCUCAACCGGGGAGGGUCAUUGGAAACUGGUUGACUUGAGUGCAGAAGAGGAGAGUAGAAUUCCAUGUGUAGCGGUGAAAUGCGUAAAUAUAUGGAGGAACACCAGUGGCGAAGGCGACUCUCUGGUCUGUAACUGACGCUGAGGCUCGAAAGCGUGGGUAGCAAACAGG